GAUGAACGCUGGCGGCGUGCCUAAUACAUGCAAGUCGAGCGAACAGACUCGAACCUUGCUUCUCUCAUGUUAGCGGCGGACGGGAGAGUAACACGUGGAUACCCUACCUAUCAUACUGGGAUAACUUCGGGACACCGGAGCUAAUACCGGAUAAUCUUUUUAACCGCAUUGUUCAAAAGUGAAAUACGGUCUUGCUGUCACUUAUAGCUGAAUCCGCGCUGCAUUAGGUAGUUGGUAAGGUAACGGCUUACCAAGGCAACGAUGCAUAGCCGACCUGAGAGGGGGAUCGGCCACACUGGAACUGAGACACGGUCCAGACUCCUACGGGAGGCAGCAGUAGGGCAUCUUGCGCAAAGGGCGAAAGCCUGACGGAGCAACGCAGCGUGAGUGAUGAAGGUCUUCGGAUCGUAAAACUCUGUUAUUAGGGAAGAACAUAUGUGUAAGUAACUGUGCACAUCGUGACGGUACCUAAUCAGAAAGCCACGGCUAACUACGUG
rnacentral:rRNA from 1 species